CUCUAAAAAAGAAUCCUCGCGGAGAAAGGGAGGAAUAACUCUCCUAAGUUAGGGAGAGUACAAACGGCAUCCUAGCUGAGAGGGGGAUUGGAGUGAAUUAGCGUCCCAGCUGAAAGGGGGAUUGCGAGUAAAAGGGUAGCUACCGACCAAAGAGACUUAAGUGACCCAAAGAAUCGGAGGACUUGUUAAGGAACUCUUAAACACCGGUGAGCACAUAGGGUAGGAAACACGCCGCGCUGUUAAUUGUGUUUUCUUUCCAGAAAUUGAGAUGUCGCAACAGCAGAGCGGGCUCUGCCACUCCCCCGCUUUGCAAAGUACUAAGAACAACUGAAACCGGCGAAACUGGAGCUUAAAUCAGGAACUUUGAAGAUGGGUAAGGAAAAAAAAGAAUUGUGGUUGUAUACCCAGGGGUUCGAGUCCCCUGGAGGUGAAAAUGAUAAAGGAACUGUUGAAGGCCUUACAAUGCAACCAUCACCUUUCCUGCCCAUACCAUCCCCAGUCUACUGGAGCGGUGCAAAGACAAAAUGGUAUUUUGAAAAACAAAAUAGCUAAAUUAUGUGACGAAGCCAGUUUGAAAGGGCCUGAAGCUCUACCCUUGGUGCUCAUGACUAUGCACUCUCACCUUAACUGUCUCAAGAGCUUGCAUAUACGGGUAGUAGAAGCUCAGAAAAAGCCCACCAUUGAAGAUUGCCAUCAAUACCAGCCCGGGGAUCUAGUCCAGCUAAGGACCUUCAGGAGAAAGUACUGUUUGGAACCUCGAUGGGAGGGGCCUUUCCAAGUCCUGCUCACCACCCAUACGGCCGUGGGUUGAAGGACGACCCUUGUGGAUCCACGCAUCACACAUCAAGCGAACGCUGACCUCGGACGCAAGUGCUUGUGCAAGAACUUUAACUGAGCUGUCAGAAUGCUGACGAUGAUUUGGCCCCUGUCCUGCAUGGUCCUUGCGGAGGCAUGGAAUACCAAUUCUGCGGUUCAACGAAUGCAGGCCGUCGCCUCGCAAGUUAAUCGGACUAAAUGUAUUCAUUUUCCUCUAUGUAAAACAGCAGCUGAAUUGCAUGAGAGGGUGGAAAGGACCCUCCCUUGUGCUGCUAACAACUCGAACUGCCUUGAAGGUUAAAGGGAAGGAAGACUGGGUCCACGCCACUCACUGUAAAAGACAUUGUCUAGCAACAAUAUAGCAGCUGUUACCAAGUGAUCUAACUUGUAUUAUGUAUUGAAACAGAAAGUUUGAGUAACUUUUAUAAAAAAGAUUCUUGGUGGUCUGUAAUACUAGGUUGGUUCUCAGGUUGGGGAAGUUGGUUGCUAUACGUUUUAAUUGGGUUGGGCGUAGCAUGUGUUAUAGGGUGUUGUGCAUGUGUUGCUUUGCAGAUUUGCUGCUCCCAGAUUAUUAACAGUGUCUCUACUGGAUUAGGUGGUGCCCCAAUUGUUCCCCAAAUGAUGCGCACUGGCCUCAGUGAAGCCCACUGGUGGGGAGAGAAGGUUUACCCUGCCAGAGUUCAGCCUUUUCCUUAUGGUUAUGAACCCCCUUAUGAUAAUGAAGAUUCUAUUCCUCAUUGGUAUUAAUCUAGAUGAUUAACAAGGAGGGAUUGUGGGAGAAUAAAAUACAUCUACAGGAUAACAAAGGGUUAAGUGGUUAAACCAUAGUGGAAUACUACAACGACGUCUCCUUGCACCAGUAACAGACAAACCUGCGCUGUCAGCUAUUGUGAAGGAAGAAAAACAAGUAUCAUAAACAAACUACCAAGAGUCCUUGAAACAAAUUUAGGAGGUCUGUUAUCAGCACAUGAGACAGGGCCUAGUCAUGCUAUCUGUUGUCUGUCCAGAUGUCUAGGCGCCAGAUGGGCUACUCAAGGUUUUGUGUAACUACUCAAAGUUUUUGCGUGAUUAUAAACUAAGACAGAACAAUUGUAUGCAUGCCAAAGAUAAAAUUUCAAUGUUAUUAAUUACUAUAACUAUGUGUGUACUCCUUUGCUUCCUCAGAGUGCCACUAGCUCCAUUGAAUGCUGCUGGGCUCUCUGUGAUAUCAUGAUUCAAUAAAGGCUUCUGAGACAAA